rnacentral:rRNA from 1 species
GGAAUUUUGCGCAAUGGGAGCAAUCCUGACGCAGCAACGCCGCGUGGGUGAUGAAGGCCUUCGGGUCGUAAAGCCCUGUCGGGUGGGAAGAAUAGGCCUGUGGCGAAAAGCUGCGGGAGAUGACGGUACCACCAGAGGAAGCACCGGCUAACUCCGUGCCAGCAGCCGCGGUAAUACGGAGGGUGCAAGCGUUAUUCGGAAUUACUGGGCGUAAAGCGCGUGCAGGCGGGUGGAUAAGUCUGAUGUGAAAGCCCGGGGCUCAACCCCGGAAGUGCAUUGGAAACUAUCCAUCUUGAGUGCUGGAGAGGAAGGGGGAAUUCCCGGUGUAGAGGUGAAAUUCGUAGAGAUCGGGAGGAAUACCAGUGGCGAAGGCGCCCUUCUGGACGGCAACUGACGCUGAGACGCGAAAGCGUGGGGAGCAAA